rnacentral:misc_RNA from 1 species
UCCGGCUUGACGCCGGCAGUCCCCCGAGAGUCCUCAGCUUUACCGUACAUGUCAAGCCCAGGUAAGGUUCUUCGCGUUGCAUCGAAUUGAGCCACACGCUCCGCCGCUUGUGCGGGCCCCCGUCAAUUCCUUUGAGUUUUAGCCUUGCGGCCGUACUCCCCAGGCGGGGCACUUAAUGCGUUAGCUACGGCACGGAACCCGUCGAUAGAGUCCCACACCUAGUGCCCAACGUUUACGGCGUGGACUAC